GAGCCUCGGCCCGGCCUCCCCGCCGCCUCUGCCGCGGGCCCGGUUCAUUGUCCUUAUUCCCCUCAUCGAUGCCUUUUCCCCCCGCUCUCCUCCAGGCUCGCUGGAAGGUCCGGAAGUGCCGCCCCCGGGAGCCGCCAGCGCCAGCCCUGUUCUCGAGCUGUCCUCGCUACGAAGGGGAUUCUGAGUCACACAUCUGUCUGGCAAUGACACCUGUGGAACACGACUGGUAAUCCAACAGAAGUUUAAUGACUGUAGCUGCCAUGACUGCUACAACUUGCUUGCCUAAGACCCGAGGAAUUGAUUUCAACCCUGGCAAAACCUGUGUUCCCACUGGAUUGCCGUGACUCAGUGAGCUCCAUUGUGUUCAGAAAUUCUGAAAUGGGGCCAAGAAAUUCCAAGAUUACCUUCUUAAAGAAAAAGAUACCCACUGCACUGCUUGUCCUUCAAAUCCCAUUCAGCGACCACAGCGUUAUUUCAGGCAGGGCCAACACAGGAGUUUUCCUUUCAGCCGCUCUUAAAACGUAGGAACCAGAACUCACCAAAUAUCCUGAGCUGGAGGGGUCCCAGAAGGAUCACUGGGUUCAGCUCCUGGCCCUGCACAGGGCACCCCAAGGGCCCCAGCCCCCCCCCGUUCCCCUCUAUCCCUUUCCUUUGGGUUAGGAGCAGCACGGGGCUCCUGUGGAGCUCAGAGCCCGUGUGUGGAUCCAGCUGCAGCACAGCUGCACACAAAGCUUCCCACCUGCCCUGCCCGCCCCUGUCAGUGCUGCUCACAGGGGGAUGUCCCAGGUGUGUGCAGGCUGCACUGAGCUGCAGCUCUGCCAGAUCUGGGCUGCUCUGGAGCUGUGUUUAUUGGGUUUAGGGUGACUGCUGGGCAGGGAAGCGCUCAGGAGUUAAUCUCCAGAAGUGCUGAUCAGUGAAUCUGGUGCUGGGCAGGGUGUGUCACUGGAGAGCAGAUCACUGUGCCGUCCCUCUCCAGCCCAAACACAGCUCUCCAUCCAAACUGGCAGCAGAAAAUACUCCAGAGCUGCUUUUAGAUUGAGGACAAAUUCUGUGACUGGAUGACAGCAAAACAUCUGUGCACCUCUGCUCUGGAGCCAGGCUGGGAGAGCUGGGGGUGCUCACCUGGAGAGGAGAAGCUCCAGGGAGAGCUCAGAGCCCCUGGCAGGGCCUGAAGGGGCUCCAGGAGAGCUGCAGAGGGGCUGGGGACAAGGGAUGGAGGGACAGGACACAGGGAAUGGCUCCCACUGCCAGAGGGCAGGGCUGGAUGGGAGAUUGGGAAUCAGGAAUUGUUCCCUGGGAGGGUGGGCAGGGUUUGGAUGCUCAUUUUCCAGCACCAAACACGUUCAUUGUCAGAUAAGCCAUGGCAAGUGUUUUCCCUACACAAAAUAAAACGACACAAGAUGAAAUAGGGCUGAGAGGCCUGGGUGUCCCGAGCUGUGCUCAGCAGGGUUUGGGGCAGUGGGGCUCUCCCUGGAGAACACCCUGGCUGCCCUUUGGCCGCUGCAGCGCUCAGCUCCGCUGAUCACUGCGCCCAGCAGCGUUUCCGUGUCCGUGCUGCCUUCCAGCUGAUAGCAGCUCAGGUCUCGCUGCACCUUCCCCCGAUGCUUCUGCACCAGCAAGGGAAUGGAUUCCUGUGCACAGAACACCCCCAGACGUUUUCUCGGGUUGGCUCACGGCCAGGGGAGAUGGCAAAGACACUUUAAAAGCGAAGUAAUUUCUUGCCCACCGUCGAUGACCUCAUGAGACACAGUCAUGAGAUAAGGGCUUGCGUCACCAUCUUUUAUGUAAAUUCUUUUUUAGGGCUGGUAAGGGAGUGUUACAGCUGGCCACUUCAUAAAGGAAAACAAACAAAUGAAGUUCUAUUUUUAGUCUUCUGAGAAUACAACUCACAAAUGCCAUUUUUCCAGAGGUGAUUCGUCGAGUUUCCACAUUUCUGCUUAUGGUCAGCAAAGCUUUUAACGCGGAUUUGCACAUUAAAUUCACGUGACAGUUCCAUACAAAGCUUUGGAAGUUCUGGCUUGAUACCUGACAGAAAAUAUACAGGUAGCUUCUUCUAACGUGCAUCUUUGGGAGCUUCAUCAAAACUCAAUCAAUUCCAACCAAGCGUUUUGGGAACUGUUACCUACAAACGAGGCCAGUAAGGAAACCAAACUCCAAUCUCUACUGCCUAAGCCACGGAGAAUAUAACCCUCCCUCAUAUGUUUAGAUUCUUUUCUUUAGUUGAUCUGUUAUUGCUUGGGUAGUUUGAGCGGGUAUUUUCCUUGUACGGCAAUAAAAU